rnacentral:rRNA from 1 species
GAUCAUGGCUCAGGAUGAACGCUAGCGGCAGGCCUAACACAUGCAAGUCGAGGGGCAUCACAGGUAGCAAUACCGGGUGGCGACCGGCGCACGGGUGCGUAACGCGUAUGCAACCUACCCAUAACAGGGUGAUAACACUGAGAAAUUGGUACUAAUACCCCAUAACAUCAGAACCGGCAUCUGUUUUGGUUGAAAACUCCGGUGGUUAUGGAUGGGCAUGCGUUGUAUUAGCUAGUUGG